AAGAGAGGUCGAUAGGUAGCAACAGAGGGGUCGAAGGUACAACAGAGGGGUCGAAGGUACAACAGAGCGGUCGAAGGUACAACAGUAGGGGUCGAAGGUACAACCGAGGGGU